UACGUAGGGUGCGAGCGUUGUCCGGAAUUAUUGGGCGUAAAGAGCUCGUAGGCGGUGUGUCACGUCGGCCGUGAAAACCUGCAGCUUAACUGUGGGCGUGCGGUCGAUACGGGCAUCACUGGAGUUCGGUAGGGGAGUGUGGAAUUCCUGGUGGAGCGGUGAAAUGCGCAGAUAGUCGAGGAGGAACACCGGUGGCGAAGGCGGAUCUCUGGGC
rnacentral:rRNA from 1 species